GGCGGUUCUUAGGUGACACACCCCGGAAUCGGGCUCCCUCCUCUGGUUCCAGGUGCGUCACCCAAGAACCGCA
rfam:Myotis davidii contig104225, whole genome shotgun sequence.